rnacentral:lncRNA from 1 species
GCGGAACCCGUCAUCAGUUUGUGUGAGGAUUCAAUGAAGUAACACCAAAAUGUUGCAAGCCCAGACUUGGGCAUCCUUAUGUGCUCAAACAAAUGAUCUCUGGGUUCCCUAAGAAGACCUCACCUUCUGCAUCUGAAAACUAGGUCUCUCUGACUCGGAGUGAAAAGCGAAUUUACCUUUCCCCAUCCUGGUGGCAACGAGGGGGCCCAUGGUAGAACUGUGCGCAGCUUGGACAAACUCUGGGAGAGGGGUCCCAGCUGGGGUUUCCUGUUGGACGCCCUUUGGAACUCAGAGCCCCGUUGACAGGAGGAGAGAGGAGCAGUUGAUUGGACAGCUCCCCACCCAGCCAGCCACACUAUCCGAGUCUCAGGCAUUUGGUGGAGUUCAGAGAGGAGGCCUCCAGCAAGCCCAGGUCAGGGCCAAGCUGUCACACUGGUGAGGUUCAUACUUCACAUUCUCACCCUCUUCCCCAGGCUUCCCCUCCCUGCCUCCUUUGCUAAACUUGCCCUUCCUUGAGAAAGGACGGGAGCUCAGUCGCUUUACAGCGACUAAGAGAGGAUGUCAGUCUUUGGAGAUACUCCUUCAUUUGACAUGUGGGGAAUCUGAAGCCCAGAGAUGGCAGGGCUUUGCCAGAGGCUACACAGCAGUCCUGAGGAUGAGAAUUCAUGUCAGAGACCCUUGAUCUAGGGCUGUUUCUCUAUGGUACUUCAUAGCCUAGUUCUGCCCAUUUUACAGAUGGAACAAACUGGGGCCCAAAACUGUGACAUAAGCCAGCAAAGGCUUCCCAGGCCAACAUUAGCAAUGAGGAAUGAGGAAUGUACUUUAGGCAGGGGUUGGGGGGAAUGGGAUCCUUCCAGGACCCCUCCAAUUAUUCGUAGACCCACCUGCUUUGAAGAUGAUCUCUGCCUCCCCUCUCCGCCCAGGGAAAAGACAUCUGGAGAGAUCUGUAGCUAUCAGCUCCCCUUUGUCACCCAGGAAUCCUAAAUCUCCCUAUCCUGACAGAUCAGCCCAGCUGGGGCCCAGAUCCACAUUGGUGCCCUUGUCUGUCUGGCUCCCGUGAGAGCUGGCUAUGAUGGUUGUGCACCUGGAGGCCACUAAGGUCAGGGUGGGCACCGCCUCACUCUGCUCCAGGGCUCUAGACCAAUGCCUAGGUAGGAGCUUUUUCUCAAGACUCGGACAUCAACAGCCAGGCCUGGCAUCAAAAGCCUCUCCUCACCUGCAUGUUUGCUGCCAGCUGCUCUGAGGGGUUGCGUUUCAUUUGUUCAUUAGCUCAUUCAUUCAUUCUUUCUUGCAUUCAAUAUCUCUAGAGAACCUGCAAGGUGCCAGGCACUGCCCCACACAUUGAAGGUAGAGCAGCAAACAAGAUGGUGGGGCCCUGCCUCCUGGAGCUCACUUUCUGGGGUGGGGAGACAGGCAGUAAAUCAAUAUACACAAGACAGAAGGUCAGAUGGAGGUAUCAAGGCAGGAUGAAAAGGAUGAGAGAGGAAGCUGGCCUCCUGUGAGAAGAUGCUGGACUCAGAAAUCUUUGAAUUCUAGGCUUCACCUCUGAGUGACUGCAUGAACUUGGAAGAGCUACUUAAACGCUCUGAACUUCCGUUUCCAUAUCUGGCUAAAUAUACUGGCAGCACAAAUAGCUAUGAAAGCUAAGGGUCCACCACCCCCUGACCCAGCAGGUACACUCCUAGCUACAGACCCAAGAGAAAUGAGCACACGUGUCCAAAAGGCACGGACAAGGUGUUCGUGGGGGUUGUUCACAAUGGCCCCAAAUGAGUCAACCCUGAGGCUCAUCAUCAGAAGAAUGGCUGAAGCCGUGUGGGAUAGUUGUAGAGUGGAAUAUUUCAUAGCAACAACAUAAUGAAACUGCUGAUAGAUGCAGCAACGUGGAAGAAUCUGACAUUUUGUUGAGUGAAAGAAGCCAGACACACAAGAAUAGGAGCUGUGUGAUUCCAUUAAGCCGAAUUCAAUAACAGGUGAGGCUAGUCUGUGGUGAGAAAGGUCAGGAUAGUGGUUACCCUUGGGGGUGCUGACUGGGAGGGGGACUGAGGGAAGCUUCUGGCAUGUUGGAAGUGGUUUAUAGCCUUUUUUUUUUUUUUUUUUUGAAAUGGAGUCUGGCUCUGUUGCCCAGGCUGGAGGGCAGUGACACCAUCUCGGCUCACUGCAACCUCCGCCUCCCAGGUUCACGCAAUUCUCCUGUCUCAGCCUCCCGAGUAGCUGGGACUACAGGCGCCCAGCACCAUGCCCAGAUAAUAUUUGUAUUUUUAGUAGAGAUGGGGUUUCACCAUAUUGGUGAGGCUGGUCUCGAACUCCUGAUCUCAGGUGAUCUGCCUGCCUCAGCCACCAAAAAUUCUGGGAUUACAGGUGUGAGCCACCACGCCUGGCUGGAAGUGGUUUAUAUCUUGAUUCUAGUUGGUAUCACAUGGGUUUAUACCUAUGUGAAAAUUCAUUAAGCUUGAGCUCAUCAAAUAAUUUGAGAUUCAUGCAAGUUGUACCAGACGUAUGUUAUAUUUCAAUAAAAAGGUGUUUCAAAAUGCCUAGCGAGCUGGUGAAGGAUAAAUGGGAUUGAGAAUGUAGCUAUGCCUGCCUCAAAAUAGGGCCUUGUGAAUGUUCCUGCCUCCCUAGUGCCACUCUGAGGGACAAGGGGUGCCCUCCAGCAGCCAGGCUUUGUCUAGACUGUUUUGACAUCAACUGCCAUCGACUGCUGUGACCACCGUGACAGAGCACCAGCCAGGGUCAGGUGAUAUUGUGCUGUGCUGUUGGGUUUUGUUUUGUUUUGUUUUGUAUUUUUUUGUUUUUGCUUUAUUUUUUCUGUUGCUUUGCUUUGUGAUGAGAAAAUUAUUGUGCUUAUCAUCAUUAAUUUUAUUUAUUUAUUUUUGAGACUACAGUCUCGCUCUGUCACCCAGGCUGGAGUGCCGUGGCGCAAUCUCAGCUCACUGCAACCUCCGCCUCCCAGGUUCAAGCAAUCUUCCUGUCUCAGUCUCCCAAGUAGCUGGGAUUACAGGCACGCACCACCCAUGCCCAGCUAAUUUGUGUGUGUGUGUGUGUGUGUGUGUGUGUGUGUGUGUGUGUGUAUUUUUAGUAGAGACAGGGUUUUGCCAUGUUGACCAGUCUGGUCUCGAACUCCUGACCUCAGGUGAUCCACCUGCCUUGGCCUCCCAAAAUGCUGAGAUUACAGGCAUGAGCCACUAUGCCCAGCUGCUGAUUAUCAUCAUUCAAUGACGCAGCUUGCUAGCGUUCAGGUCCCCAGGCCUGGUGUGUGCAGCAGAGACCCUGGAGUGGGGAGCCAUCCCCUC